rfam:Hepacivirus hominis isolate 364797 polyprotein gene, complete cds
CGCCCUCUUACGUCAAGGAGGAAGGGCCGCUAUAUGCGGCAAAUACCUCUUUAACUGGGCAGUGAGGACC